GAACAUGUACAAGUGAAUAUCAUAUCGCGAAAGGAUCUGAAAACUUUCGAGAAGGAUACAUAAGUGAAAUUACGCAAAUCUAAUGUUUUUAAAGUUUCGUUACGUAUAAGUGAAAUUUUGUGUGGAAGCGAUUUAAAACAAUCUUGAACAAUAAACAUGCAUAUUAUUAAGGUGAUUUUUUUUUUUUUGGGCAAAUAUUAAGGUGAAUUUUUUAUAUAUUGUAUUGAAAAGAUAAAAAAAUCGUCUUCGGAUAAGUUCGACCAAUCAAUCAGUAAAGGAAACAGGUUGAGAUAUGGACAUAUACUAAUGUCCUCACCGGAAACAAUAAGGUCGUUUCAUACACUUUCUAGGCACUUGCUACUUGCUAG
rnacentral:lncRNA from 1 species